AGAGCGUUUUUGUUUCUGCCUUCAACAGGUCAUGCCAGCAGAAGAGAUUUUUUUUUUUUUGAGACGGAGUCUCACUCUGUCGCCCAGGUUGGAGUGCAGUGGUGCUAUCUCGGCUCACUGCAAGCUCUGCCUCCCAGGUUCAUGCCAUUCUCCUGCCUCAGCCUCCCAAGUAGCUGGGACUACAGGCGCCCGCCACCACACCCAGCUAAUUUUUUGUGUUUUUAGUAGAGACGGGUUUCACCUAUGAGGUCUGGAUCUCCUGACCUCGUGAUCCACCCACCUCAGCCUCCCAAAGUGCUGGGAUUACAGGCAUGAGCCAGCACGCCCAGCCCGAGAAGAGAUUUUUUAAAAGCCACUUUAUUCGAUUUCCAAAUCUUAGUCUUCCAUAUCUUUAGAGACCACCUGCCAUGUCCUUUCCGUCUGAAGCCUGGCAUCUCGAGCCUGGUGUGAAGGUGUGCUCCCCAGUGCACAACUUCACCCUCCUAGUACAGCUUAGUCCCUCCCACCCUGUUCUCAGCAGCUGGGUGUGACAUACCCGCUAUGUGCCUGAUAUACCCACUAUGUGCGAGACAUACCCACUGUGCACCUGACAUACCCACUGUGAGCCUGACAUGCCCAUUGCAUGCACGAUACCACCCACUGUGUGCAUGCGACAUACCCACUGUGUGCAACAUACCAACUGUUUGCAUGACAUACCCACUGUACACCUGACAUGCCCAUUGUGCGCCUGACAUGCCCACUAUGUGCGUGCAACAUACCCACUGUGUGCGUGCGACAUACCCAUUGUGCGCACGACAUACCCACUGUGCGCGCGACAUGCCCACUGUGCACCUGACAUGCCCGCUGUGUGCGUGCGACAUGCCCACUGUUUGCAUGCGACAUACCCACUGUGCACCUGACAUACCCACUGUGCGCGCGACAUACCCACUGUGUGAGUGCGACAUACCCACUGUGCGCGUGAAAUACCCAUUGUGUGUGUGCGACAUACCCACUGUGCGUGCGACACACCCACUGUGCGCAUGACACACCCUGUGUGCGCGACAUACCCACUGUGCGCCUGACAUGCUCAUUGUGCGCCUGACAUGCCCACUGUGUGUGUGCGACAUGCCCACUGUGCGCGUGACAUGCCCACUGUGCGUCUGACAUGCCCACUGUGUGCGUGCCACAUACCCACUGUGCACCUGACAUACCCACUGUGCGCGACAUACCCACUGUGCAUCUGACACGCCCAUUGUGCGCGACACACCCACUGUGUGCGUGCAACAUACCCACUGUGUGCCUGACACUGUGUGCAUGCGACAUACCCACUGUGUGCGAGACAUACCCACUGUGCGCCUGACAUGCCCAUUGUGCACCUGACAUGCCCAUUGCGUGCGUGCAACAUACCCACUGUGUGCGUGCGACAUACCCACUGUGCGCCUGACAUGCCCACUGUGUGCGUGCAACAUGCCCACUGUGCGUGACAUACCCAGUGUGUGCGUGCGACAUACCCACUGUGUGAGUGCAGGGCCUCUUCUCAUUCGUGCUUGUCCCCCGGAAAGUCAUGUCCGCUGGAACCUCGGAAUGUGGCCUUAAUUUGGUAAACGGGUCUUUCCAGACAUGGUUAGUUAACAUGAGGUCAUGCUAAAUUAAGGCAGGCCUAAGUCCACACUGACUGACGUCCUCAUAAGAAGAGGAGAGGCUGGCUGGGUGCAGUGCCUCCCGCCUGUAAUCCCAGCACUUUGGGGAGACCGAGGCAGCCCGAUCACCUGAGGUCAGGAGUUCGAGAUCAGCCUGGCCAACAUGGUGAAACCCCAUCUCUACUAAAAACACAAAAAUUAGCCAGAAAUUGCUUGAAUCCUGGAGGUGGAGGUUGCAGUGAGCCAAGAUCGUGCCACUGCACUCCAGCCCGGGCGACAGAGUGAAACUGUCUCAACAACAACAACAACAACAAGAACUAAUUCAGAUUCUAAAACCAGUUGCUAAAUGUUUCCUUUUUUUUUUCUUUUUAGACAGAGUUUCAAAAUCUGUCGCCCAGGCUGGA
rnacentral:lncRNA from 1 species